rnacentral:rRNA from 1 species
UUUAAACAUGAGAGUUUGAUCUUGGCUCAGGACGAACGCUGGCGGCAUGCCUAAUACAUGCAAGUCGAACGAUGACAUCACUGCUUGCAGUGAUUGAUUAGUGGCGAACGGGUGAGUAACACGUGAGGAACUUGCCCAUGAGCGGGGGACAACAUUCGGAAACGGAUGCUAAUACCCCAUAGGUGGAUUGGUCGCAUGACGAAUUCAUUAAAGGUGGCUUCGCUACCACUCAUGGAUAGCCUCGCGGCGUAUUAGCUAGUUGGUAAGGUAAUGGCUUACCAAGGCAGUGAUACGUAGCCGACUUGAGAGGGUGAUCGGCCACACUGGGACUGAGACACGGCCCAGACUCCUACGGGAGG